AGUGAACGCUGGCGGUAGGCCUAACACAUGCAAGUCGAACGGCAGCACAGGAGAGCUUGCUCUCUGGGUGGCGAGUGGCGGACGGGUGAGGAAUACAUCGGAAUCUACUCUGUCGUGGGGGAUAACGUAGGGAAACUUACGCUAAUACCGCAUACGACCUACGGGUGAAAGCAGGGGACCUUCGGGCCUUGCGCGAUUGAAUGAGCCGAUGUCGGAUUGGCUAGUUGGCGGGGUAAAGGCCCACCAAGGCGACGAUCCGUAGCUGGGCUGAGAGGAUGAGCAGCCCGACUGGAACGGAGACACGGUCCAGACUCCUACGGGAGGCAGCAGUGGGGAAUAUUGGACAAUGGGCGCAAGCCUGAUCCAGCCAUACCGCGUGGGUGAAGAAGGCCUUCGGGUUGUAAAGCCCUUUUGUUGGGAAAGAAAUCCAGCUGGCUAAUACCCGGUUGGGAUGACGGUACCCAAAGAAUAAGCACCGGCUAACUUCGUGCCAGCAGCCGCGGUAA
rnacentral:rRNA from 1 species